rnacentral:lncRNA from 1 species
AUCACAGAUCUUCGAAAUUAGACAAUGAUUUUCGCUAAACAAAAAAAUCAGAUCUGAAUCGAGAGACUUACUUCUUCAGCAGCGUGGAAGACGGCGGCCAUGUAAACCGGGAGCGAGCCUUUGAGCCUUUCUUCAGGAAACGAGUGAUUGAGCUUUGAUCGAUUUCGAAACUGGUUUGGUCUAUGGGCCACAGGCUGUUUCUUCUUCCAAAACCAUUCUUCACUUUUGCCGGUGGUUUAUCCAUUGCACAGAAACGGGAUUGAACAGAGAGAGAGAGUUUUAGUGGAAGGAGGUUGGAGGUUUGUAUUUUGACAUUAACGGUCUUCUUCGGACAUGGUUAUAAUUGGAGAAGAAAGGAGGGAUAAUGGUUUGGUUUGUUGUCUGAUUAUAAGUGUUUCUGAGUUUGGUUUGUUGUCUGAUUAUAGUGUAGUGUUUUUGAGUUUGUGUGUUGUGUAUUUAUAGAGAAGCCUUCGUAACGGCUAUAUUUGUCUUAAAGGUUUGAGUCUGGUCUCGAUCGCCACAAAACGCGUGCGUUUCUCCUAACGGUAAUAAUGUUGGAACCGAACCGGUCUUGCAACCAC